rnacentral:sRNA from 1 species
UCUUCUGUAUCAGAAUGCCCAGGUUGGCGG